CCCACGGAAGGGCAACGCGCGUUGGGGCCUGCGAGGGGAUUUCAAACGCCUGCCCGGGCCCUCGGUCCUCUGGAGUGGCCCCAUUCACCUGCAGGAAACACCCCGCUCUCCGUGGAAGAGGAGUCUCCCAGCUGAGGUUGUGGAGUCUCCUCUGGCGACAUUCAGAACCCACCUGAAUGUGUGACCUACACUAAGUGAUCCUGCUUUGGCUGGGGGAUUGGACUCGAUGAUCUUUUUUGGUCCCUUCCAACCCAUAACAUUCUAUAAUUCUCUGUGGUUCUGCUGUGCCUUCUUUUAACUUUCUCCAGGUCUUUUCUUGUCCCUUUUUGUGGCCUGGAGCCCCUGUCCCUGUUGGUAUUUCCACUGAUUGCUCCCUAGGGAUCAGUCCCCACCCUGCAAGUGGACCCAUCCAAAUAAGAGGCCAUGAAAUGAUGGGGCUGAUGAUUGAAUCACAGCAAAGAGGCAGAACCAACCUGAGUCAUCCCAGGGAUGGAAAGCUCCAGACUGAUUGGAAUAGCCCAGUAACUUGAGGAGCUGAGGAGCAUUCAGCAUCUCUUGGAUUACAGAGACAGACCUUUCACCUCCAAAAACCCAAACCCCAAGAAGUCACUGCAGGAAGGGUGUUGGUGUUCAGCAGAUGGUGCUGUUUCCAUCCAAUCUGCCCUAAAUGACCCACCACUCCCGUGUGGUAUUGGGAGCAAAUGGACACUGCACAGGCAGCUGUGCCUGCUCUGAAAUCUGACACUUUCCAUCCGUGUUUCCCAACUUUUCCUCAGCUCAGACAACUACUUUGCUGCAAUGGGUACCAUCUCCCCAGCAGAUCCUGCACAUCCACACCUUUAAAUGGAAUGUAAUGCCUUGCUGAAACUACUAAAAAUUUCUGUGUAUCUUGUUACGACUUGUCAAAGGAGCACAGGCAUUUUUUAUGGUGAUUGGUACUUUGUUUUGGUGUUACUCUCAGUCUAAGCAUGUGGUUAUGUGGUACCCUUUGCUACACCAGAUGUAGCAAAGUCCCUCCCCAGGUGUACUCCCAGUUUGUGAUCCAUGAAAUGACUGUAAUGCCCUGCAAGCCCUAAGUUACCAUGGCAGUAUCUGGAUUUAAAAACUGGUGCUGGACAUAAGUGAGAAAGGAAGAUUUUGGAGAAGCAGAAAGUUGAAAGGACUUGCUAAGAACACAUCUGUUGACCAGCAGUGGCUGAGAUGAAGUUGUUAACUUAAGAGUCUGACUUCUGUACUCAGUGUUUCCUAGAAGAUAGUGGUAAAAUGAUAACUCUGAGUCAAGUAUCUCACAAGUAAUUUAAGGCAUAGCCUUAAAUUGAGCUCACAGCUCAACUGUGAGCCACUCGGGUUCCUGGUUGUCAAGGUUUAAUG